rnacentral:ncRNA from 1 species
GAAAGAAAUUUUAAUCUUUUAAAAUUUAUAUAGAUAAAUUUGAUUCUAGUUAUAUUUUAACUUUUAUAUAAAAAGAUAUAUAAAUAUGAAUUUUUAAUAAAAAAUUUUUGUAGUCUUUUUAAUUAAUUAUCUAUUUUUAGGAAUUAGUUAUUAUUAGAGUAUUGACUAAGAACGUGCCAGCAGUCGCGGUUAUACGAAGAAUACAAGUUAAAAUUCAGGGUAAAAUUUAUUAAUAGUGUUUAUUAUUUUUUAGUAAAAUAAUUUAUUGUAAGGUAAAAUUUAAUUAUUUUUGUAUAUUAAUAAGUAGUAAUAUUAUUAAAUAAAUAGAUAUGGAAUAAACUAGGAUUAGAUACCCUAUUAUUCAUAAUGUAAGUAAAUCUUGAGUAGUAAAAGUAUUUAAAACUCAAAGAAUUUGGCGGUAUUUUAUCAGUUUAGAGGAACCUGUUCAGUAAAUGAUAGUCCACGUUAAAUCUUACAUUAGUUUGUUUACAGUUUGUAUACCUCCGUUGUUAGAAAGAUUUUGGAAAAUUCUUUUGUAAAUAAUUUUUUUGAAGACUUCAGGUCAAGGUGCAGCUUAUACUAAUGAUGAAAUGGGUUACAAUUAGGUUAAUAUUGGAAUAAUAUUUAGAAUUAUAUUAGGAAAUUGGAUUUAUUAGUAAUUGUUUUUAAGGAAAAAACAGUGAAUUUUGCUCUAAGGUGUGCACACAUCGCCCGUCGCUCUCUUGUAACAUAAGAGAUAAGUCGUAACAUAGUAGAUUUAUUGGAAAAUGAAUCUAGAAU